UACGUAGGGCGCAAGCGUUUAUCCGGAAUUAUUGGGCGUAAAGAGCUCGUAGGCGGUUUGUCGCGUCUGCCGUGAAAGUCCGGGGCUCAACUCCGGAUCUGCGGUGGGUACGGGCAGACUAGAGUGCGGUAGGGGAGACUGGAAUUCCUGGUGUAGCGGUGAAAUGCGCAGAUAUCAGGAGGAACACCGGUGGGCGAAAGGGCGGGUCUCUGGGCCGUAACUGACGCUGAGGGAGCGAAAAGCGUGGGGGGAGCGAAACAGG
rnacentral:rRNA from 1 species